CGCCUCUUGCAAAACUAAUGAAUAAGAGGUCCCGCCUGCCCUGUGACUAUAUGUUCAACGGCCGCGGUAUUUUGACCGUGCGAAGGUAGCGUAAUCACUUGUCUUUUAAAUGAGGACCUGUAUGAAUGGCACAACGAGGGCUCAACUGUCUCCUCUUUCCAGUCAAUGAAAUUGAUCUUCCCGUGCAGAAGCGGAAAUAUCAACAUAAGACGAGAAGACCCUAUGGAGCUUUAGAUAAUAAGGCAGGCUGCGUUAAGCACCCUUGUAAAAAAGACCAAACUAGCUGAACACUGCCCGAAUGUCUUUGGUUGGGGCGACCACGGCGAAACAAAAACCCCCCGUGCGGAAAGAGGGAACCACCCUCCAAACCGAGAGCUCCCGCUCUAAUAAACAGAAUAUCUGACCUAUAAGAUCCGGCAACGCCGAUCAACGGACCAAGUUACCCUAGGGAUAACAGCGCAAUCCCCUUCUAGAGUUCAUAUCGACAAGGGGGCUUACGACCUCGAUGUUGGAUCAGGACAUCCUAAUGGUGCAGCCGCUAUUAAGGGUUCGUUUGUUCAACGAUUAAAGUCCU
rnacentral:rRNA from 1 species